rnacentral:rRNA from 1 species
UACGGGGGGGGGCAAGCGUUGUUCGGACUUACUGGGCGUAAAGGGCUCGUAGGCGGCCAACUAAGUCAGACGUGAAAUCCCUCGGCUUAACCGGGGAACUGCGUCUGAUACUGGAUGGCUUGAAUCCGGGAGAGGGAUGCGGAAUUCCAGGUGUAGCGGUGAAAUGCGUAGAUAUCGAGAGGAACACCUGCGGCGAAGGCGGGUUGCUGGGCUGACACUGACGCUGAUGCGCGAAAGCCAGGGGAGCGAACGGG